rnacentral:piRNA from 1 species
UGCCAAGAUUACCUAUGUGUUCCAUUAAGU